AUUGAACGCUGGCGGCAGGCCUAACACAUGCAAGUCGAACGAGUGGCGGACGGGUGAGUAAUGUCUGGGAAACUGCCUGAUGGAGGGGGAUAACUACUGGCAACGGCAGCUAAUCCCGCAUACCAUCAGAUGUGCCCAGAUGGGAUUAGCUUGUUGGUGGGGUAACGGGUCACCAAGGCGACGAUCCCUAUCUGGUCUGAGAGGAUGACCAGGCACCUUGGAACGGAGACACGGUACAGACUCCGACGGGAGGCAGCAGUGGGGAAUAUGGCACAAGGGGCGCAAGCCGGAUGCAGCCAUGCCGCGGGGAUGAAGAAGGCCUUCGGGUUGUAAAGUACUUUCAGCGGGGAGGCGUUACCCGCAGAAGAAGCACCGGCUAACUCCGUGCCAGCAGCCGCGGUAAUAC
rnacentral:rRNA from 1 species